UACGGAGGAUCCGAGCGUUAUCCGGAUUUAUUGGGUUUAAAGGGUGCGCAGGCGGAAGAUUAAGUCGGUGGUGAAAUUUUGCAGCUUAACUGUAACAGUGCCGUUGAUACUGGGGAGCUAGGAUUUGGUUGCUGUGGGUGGAAUGUGCGGUGUAGCGGUGAAAUGCUUAGAGAUCACACAGAAUAUCGAUUGCGAAGGCAGCUCACAAAGCCAAGAUUGACGCUGAGGCACGAAAGUGUGGGGAUCAAACAGGAUUA
rnacentral:rRNA from 1 species